rnacentral:lncRNA from 1 species
CCCAGCUAUGAGCUCGUAAUUCUGACAUGCAAUUCCAUUAUCCAGGAAUUCAGAUGCUGUUUAUUGAUACCAUCUGCACAUUCAUUGUUCACAUGUUAGGUUAUUUUCUCAACUCCUAACUCUCAGUAAGACUAUGUGAUGACAGUGCCAUCUGUGCUGCCAAGUUUUUCAUCUUCUUACCAAAGAGGGUACACUCUUAAGGUGUGGUUCAUGUCAGUAUGGGUCGAUAGAAGUGCUAUGUGGAGAACAACAUGGAUGUGUCAUUGAGAAAGGUGACACCAGCCCUAACUGGCAGCAAUCCAUAUUCAGUCAUUCAGAAACUAUUAAUGAGAAAUCACGAAACAACAUCCCUAGUUUCCUCUUUUAAGGCCCAGGUUGUCUUAAGCUGCUUUGUUCCCUUGAAUUCUUUGUGGAUAUAGUUUGUAAAGAAUCGUUCCUUGUUUUCUUUGGACCUGAAGACCAGUCUUUUAAAGCAUAGGUCUACUCAAACCAUUAUCUUUCAGAUGGUUUCCUGUUUUCCCUGAUUUUUCCACAUAUGGGCCAUAAACUGCGUAAUACAAAGAGUAAUAGAUUGAGCUAGAAUCCAGGUGUUCUUAUUUCUAGUUCUAACACUGUAAAUAACUUUGUAGUAUUGAGCGCACAUUAAACUAUCUUUAGGAUUCUAUUUCCUCGUCUGAAACACUAGCGUAAUGGGGUGGUAAUUGUAUAGCAUCAGGGUGUCAGUUGACUUUUAAGUAGGAAUUUAUCUUUUCUCUCUUUUAUGUAAGUAAGAUACGAAAUGGCAUUUAGAAAAAUGUUCACUGAGUUUUGAAAAAGAAAACACACUGCUUUGGUUUACUUUGUCUUUUUAAAAAGACAACAUUUCACUAUGAUGUUGAAUUACAUUGCAUGUUCCCCAUAAACACUUAGAAGUUAUAAUAACGUUACUCAUUUAAAACCCCUGCAGAGCUACCAUGUAGGUAAUAUUUAAAGAUCAUUGUUCUGAAUCAAUGACAUAGAAUGAGUUACUGAGCUAUCAACCGCCUGCAUUGGUGACAAAUGUAAUUGUAUAUAAAUGUUUUAUAUGAUGCACAGAUAUGAGUAUUUGAUGAGUACAUGCCAUUAAAUCCAAAUAUAUUUAUCAUUGCUGUUCUGUGCAAGGAUUUCAUGUAAUUUAAAUAUUUCCCUUGCAUGAGAUUUUCAUUGUAAAUAUAUUGCAUUUAUAAAGUCUUAUUAAUUUCACAGGCUCAUGGUUUUACUAUUUUCCUUAUUAAGAAAAUUUGCCAUUUCCUCAUUUUUCCUCAUUAUAAUAACACUUUAAUUCAGAAAUUAUCACAUGAAGGAUUUGGAAUGAUGGCAGACUUUGUUGCGACAUUUUGCUUCACACAGCACAGCCUUGCUUUCUGCAAGAAUUGUGCAGUGACAAUGCCAUGACCUUUAGAUACCACACAUCUGCCUAGGAUAGAAGUAUCUUUGUUUUCUUUUAUCCCACACUUUUUUGAACAUGUAAUAUAUUCCAGGCCCCAAGAUAAGCACUAGAAAUACAAAGACAAAAAGGUACAAUUGCUGCCUUUCAGUAACUCACUGUUUCAUGUGAGAGGUGGAUUCGUCAGGGCAAGAUAGUAGAUAAAGCAUUGGUACGUACCCACCUCCACUUUUUUCAGGUCCCAACAUGCAAGUAAAAUAAAGGUAAAAAAGGUAAAUAAAUAAGUUGACAGCUGAGAGCAGGGUGGGGGCAUCAAUUAAAGACAGGUUUAAACACAUUUCUGACAGACAAAAAGAGAUGAAUGCGUGAGUCAUUAAUCCAAGAACAGAAAGACAAAACCUAGAACACUUGAAAAGAAAGUUGCAGCUAAUGAAAAGCGGACUUAUUCAGCAGAACCCCCAAGAAGAUGCAGACUAAGAAAUGCCAAUGCUUUGAUGGGUACAAGGAAGAAAUAGGACUAAGACAAGACAAAUAAUGGAGGACUUACAUGGCAGAGGUAAAUCACCCACAUCUCUUUCUCCAACUCCUUAUGCUCGAUGCUCAGCAUUGAAGCCCUUUACCCCAGGGACAAAUACAAGUUUGACAAAGCCAUCUGAGGAAAAUAAGGUUGGUUAAUUUAAGUAACAGAGACCUAGAGUGAAGUCUUCUUUGUACUUUCUUGUCCUGUUAUAUAUGAGUCCUGCAGCAUAAGAUUCACCCCCAUGAUUUCUUUCUCUAAAGCAUUUUGUGCUGGACACAGUCUCUCUGUCAAUCUUCUUAGAUCCUUAUCGUUAAGUAUGGUUUGACUACCAUGACUCACCGUAAGUUCAUAAAGGUACUGCAACAUGAAAUAGAAUGAUGAAGAUAUAUUAAGUAAAAACUAAUCCUGAGUAAAUAAAGGGUAAUAUAGGAAACCAAAAUAAUGUUUAAAAGUCUCCUCAGGCGGAUUUGAGGUUUUGGCCAUGAGAAUUAGAAAAAGAAAGAAAGAAAGUAAGAAAAAAAUAAAGAGAAAGGGAAGGAAGG